CCAUCGCUAGUGUCACCCACAACUAUCUCCACCAGCUAGUGUCACCCACAACUAUCUCCACCAGUGCUUUGGUGUCACCCAGAACUAUCUCCACCAGUGCUAGUGUCACCCAGAACUAUCUCCACCAGUGCUAGUGUCACCCAUAAUUAUUUCUCUCAGCGCUAGUGUCACCCAGAACUAUCUCAACCAUCGCUACUGUCACCCGGAACUAUCUCCACCAGCGCUGGUGUCACCUAGAAUUAUUUCCUUCAGCGCUAGUGUCAACCCAGAACUAUCUCCACCAUCGCUAGUGUCACCCACAACUAUCUCCACCAGUGCUAGUGUCACCAGGAACUCUCUCUCUCAGCGCUAGUGUCACCCAGAACUAUCUCAACCAUCGCUACUGUCACCCGGAACUAUCUCAACCAUCGCUACUGUCACCCAGAACUAUUUCCUCCAGCGCUAGUGUCACCCGGAACUAUUUCCUCCAGCGCUAGUCAUGAUAGCCACCUCCACCUGGGUCUUGAUUGCAGGAAUCGUCUGCCUCAUCAUCGUCGCCCCUUCCAUCACACACUCCACACACUCCACACACUCUUCA